ACUGUAAAGAGAACCUGGAUAGCAAGAUGUGGUUAGGCACCUCGUUUUUAGGUUGUUAAAAUUAGCUGGAAUGAAAUUCACCCUUAAUGGUUAAAGAUAUGUCAACAGGCUCAAAAGUCAGCUACUCUGAUAGUGUAUAUGGCAUCUUAUCCGACCUCCUCAUAUGAGGUGAUUAAUGAGCUGAAGAAAGACGUUGUCAUCAGGCAAACCUUCAAGAUAGAAAAGCGCAACUGAAUUUGGGAAGAUACAAUGCGUUUAUUGCCAUGACAAGGUGUUAUAUUAGUGGGAAAAGAUCUAUAAGGCAGCAGCUGAGCCCACAGCCUCUGUGCAAGGAGUUUUUCACUGAAGAAAUCCCCUCUGCACAUGCCCAGCAGCCCAGAUCAGCCCUUUCUGGUGGAUGGUGAAACACUGGAAGACCUUUGAAAGAAAUUGUUACCAUAGGGUAAGUGAGGUUUUUGCAGGUGUGCUGCCAUGAGGACAAAAAGCAGAAGGCUUGUUCCCAGGAGCUACACUUCUGCCCCACCACACCUGGACAUGUUCCUGCACCCUCAGCAUCUCCCCUGCUGCAUGGGAGCAGUCCACCUUGCCUGCACCUGCACCUUCAGGACUGUGGUCUUUCUGUAGCAGAAACCUGCUGAGGUGUGCAGAGGCAGUGUUACCCCACCACCUCCCUUGACAAAGCAGGGCUGUGCAGUGAGGGGAGGACACACAAAACCCUUCCAGCCUUGAAAAACAUCAGUGGGGCUGCAGGCAGGCUCCUGUUGCAUAGCAGCCAGACUGGCUGGCACCCCAACAGGGCACUUCAUCCCCAGGCAGCUGCAGCCAGGUCUGACAACACCCAUGCUGAGCAGGCUUGAGGGCAGCUGUGAGGGGGAAGCCUCAGUGGCACUUAGGGGCACAUCUUCAUGCACCACACAAACCACUCACACUGCAGAUAGGAGACACCAACCACUCAUGCACACCACACUUGACACAAAACAAACACACACACCACUCCCCCCCACCCAGAGACAAAACACUAGUGCAUUGCACAUGUGAAAAACAGAAUAGCUGUAUGCUGCACAAUCCUGGGAUACAAACCACACCAGUGACACAGUGGAGACAGGACCUGUGUGCUAGUUGUGCAAUACACAGGUGAGUACAAAACAGUGGGGUAGCACAAGUGUGUGCCACACACCACCUCUACACACGACAUGUGCCAUACGUGACAAAACACUUGCACCACAAGACACUCAAGCAUUGCACACUUAUGCUCCACAUUUGCUGUACACAUGAAACAGCACAUGCUACACAACACCCACGAUGCUGCACGUGUGAUGUACAACAUGAGCUGCACAUCAGGACACACUGCACAUGUAACACCACACAUUUGCCACACACAUAGUGCUCUGACAUACCAUACAUAUUAUACCCCACAUGUAUGAUGCUGCACACAGACCCCACAUGCAUGACACCAUGUGUGCCCACACCCAUGAAACACCCCAUCUGUUAUGCCACACA